rnacentral:rRNA from 1 species
UACAGAGGUCUCAAGCGUUGUUCGGAUUCAUUGGGCGUAAAGGGUGCGUAGGCGGCGCGGUAAGUCGGGUGUGAAAUCUUGGAGCUUAACUCCGAAACUGCAUUCGAUACUGCCGUGCUUGAGGACUGGAGAGGAGACUGGAAUUUACGGUGUAGCGGUGAAAUGCGUAGAUAUCGUAAGGAAGACCAGUGGCGAAGGCGGCCCCCUGGGCCGAACCUGACGCUGAGGCGCGAAGGCUAGGGGAGCGAACGGG